rnacentral:rRNA from 1 species
UACGGAGGGGGCGAGUGUUGUCCGUCAUGACUGGGUGUAAAGGGCGCGUAGGCGGCCGUACCGGUGAUCGGAGUCGUCCGCCCACCCGGAGUUUGUAAUGGACAGAAGGGAGGGGAGUUCGGGAACUGCCGUGCACUUCGUUGGCCCGACCAAAGCCUUUCCCAAGAAAGAAGGUCGCUGAAGGCUGAACAACGGUACAAAUCGCGAAAGCGGUGGCUAGAGAAUGGUUCAGGAAGGCCUUGGUUUAUUUCCGAGGAGUAGAAUCCAUAGAAGAAUUAAGUGAGAACAGCCGGCGAAGGCGGCGGUCUGGAAUCAUUCUGACGCUGAGGCGCGAAAGCAUGGGGAGCAAAGGGG